GUUUUGUUUAGUAUUUUACCUGAUAUGAAAAUUGCACGAGAAUUAAUAAUAAUCCGAAUUCGUCCAAUUUUCCACGCAUGUUGUUUGAUCUUUUCAUUGUUUUUAAUAAAUCUAAAAAGGAAAAUUUUAAAUAAAAUUAUAAUAGAAUAUUUAAAAUUCAAUUUU